GGAUGCGAUCGUACCAGCACUAACGCACCGGAUCCCAUCACAACUCCGAAGUUAAGCGUGCUUGGGCGAGAGUAGUACUAGGAUGGGUGACCAAUUUGCACACUAGUUGAAUCCGCUUUCC
rfam:Nicotiana attenuata strain TT chromosome 3, whole genome shotgun sequence.